rnacentral:misc_RNA from 1 species
GAUGAAGAACGUAGCGAAAUGCGAUAAGUAGUGUGAAUUGCAGAAUUCAGUGAAUCAUCGAAUCUUUGAACGCACAUUGCGCCCCUUGGUAUUCCAUGGGGCAUGCCUGUUCGAGCGUCAUUUGUACCUUCAAGCUUUGCUUGGUGUUGGGUGUUUGUCUCGCCUUUGCGUGUAGACUCGCCUUAAAAUAAUUGGCAGCCGGCGUAUUGAUUUCGGAGCGCAGUACAUCUCGCGCUUUGCACUCAUAACGACAGCGUCCAAAAGUAAAUUUUACACUCUUGACCUCGGAUCAGGUAGGGAUACCCGCUGAACUUAAGCAUAUCAAUAAGCGGAGGA